UAAGCACUUGGUGUCGGUCGGCCUUGUCA
rnacentral:piRNA from 1 species